UUUAAAUCAUAAAAAUUUUGAAAUUCAAAUUUUGAAAUUUUGAAAUUUUGAAAUUUUAAAAUUUUGAAAUUUUCAAAUUUUCAAAAUUUUCCAAAUUUUGGAUACUACAUUAUACUGUAUAGUUUUACUUAGUUGUACUGGGUUAUACUUCGUUCUACUGGGUAGUAUUGAUGUUAAGUUAUACUGAGUUAUACUGAGUACUACUGAAUGUAUAUACCGAAUUAUACCAGCUUAUAAUUAGUUAUACUAAGUACUACCGAGUGUAGUUAUACCGAGUUAUACCAAUUGUACUGAGUACUACUAAGUAUUACUAGUACUACUCUAAGUUAGUUAUACCGAGUUCGACUAAGUUCUACUGCAUAAUACUAAGUACUACUGAGUUAGUUAUACCAAAUUUGACUGAGUUAGUAAUACCGAGUUAUACUGGAUCCAGAUCUGAAGAAAAUAAAUAAAAAACACAAAACAUACUUUGCAAAGGGGAACAAGAGCAAUAAAAUCCCAAAAUCAUAUAAAACCCAGAUCUAUAGAGAACAAGAAGAACCCUUAUCAUACAAAAUCCAGAAUCUUAAUUUACAACCAUAAAUCGAAAAGAAAAAAAACUCAGAAUCUCUCAUCAAAUCAGGUUGAGCCGCCACCGUUCUUGAUAUCUUAUGCUCGGUAUCUAUGGAAAAGUGAAGGUUUUGUUCGGUAUCCAUGGUGGACGACAGGUUAUGAAGAAAGAAGAAGGAAGAGAAGUGAUUUUCACAGAGAAGAACAAGAAAAUCGCAGAGAAAAAAACUGAAAAAACGAAAAAAAAGAGGAGAGAAGCAAAUGAAAAGAAAAACUAUAGGCCGCUUCUUUUUAUUAGAUUAUGUUAUAAAAUAAAAGAGGCAAAACAGUAAAUAUUUUAAUUUUGACACUAAAAAUAAAUAAAUUUAUUUAAAAAAAUAAACUGGGUCCUUGGAAGAUUGAGUUAUUAGACUUGGGAGCACGAGAGGAGUUGCCUCGAAAUUGUCCCAAGAAUAAAAGCAAAAAAAAAAAGAAACAAAAAGUUGGGAUAAAAACAAGUUUGUUAUCUAGAAUCAAAAUAAAUCCAUAUAAAUGGAGCUCCAUGAUGUGAGAAACCCAAAUAGUAGAAGUCGAACGAUGUCUUUUCCCACUUCUUUCUUUUUUGUUUUCCUUUUUUCCUUCCUCUCUAGCUUUAGAGCUUCUGCUCAGAGUCCUUCCCUCUUAUACUUUUUUUGUCCGAAUACAACAACGUACUCAAGGAACAGCACUUACUAUAACAAUCUCGUAACUCUUUUGUCUUUCCUCUCUUCCAGCAACGCUUCACACUCCACCGGAUUCCAAAACUCCACAGCGGGUCAAGACCCAGCCAGAGUCACCGGACUUUUCCUUUGCCUCGGAGACGUCUCCGGAGAAGUUUGCCGUAACUGCGUUACCUUUGCCGUCAACGAAUCCUUAAGGCAGUGUCCAACUCAGAGAGAUGUCGUACUCUAUUACGAUAACUGUAUGCUCAGAUACUCUGACCACAAUAUUCUCUCGAACCUAAGAACCGAUGGAGGAUAUCCCUUGUCCAGCGUUAUUACUAUUCCACCUGACCAACAACGGAGCUUCCGAGAUUUGGUUUUAGCCCUGAUGAAACAAGCCGCAACAGAUGCCGCUACUAGUUUCAAAAAACUGGGUGCGAGACGAACCAACUUUACUGAGGUUCAGAGUGUAUAUGGACUUGUUCAGUGCACCCCCGAUCUGUCAACACAAGACUGUUCGCGGUGUUUGGAAACGUCCAUCAAUCAACUACACACUGACAAGACUGGGUCGAGACUUCUUUUACCGAGCUGUAAUUCAAGAUACGAGUUGUACCCAUUUUUCAACGAAUCCAUCGCUAGCACAUUUCAAGCACCACUAUCGCCGCCUGUUUCUACUCCUCCCCGGCCAGACGCAGGAAAAGAUGAGAGGUCAUCUGUGUUAGUGGUAGCCAUUGUUGUGCCUACUAUAGUGAUUGUUCUGCUUUUAAUAGCUGGUUAUUGUUUCCUUGCAAAGAGGGCAAAGAGGACUAAUGAGACAGAACUCACAUUUAAUAAUGCGGAUGAUAUAACAACCAUUGAUUCGCUGCAACUUGAUUAUAGAACAAUUCAAGCUGCAACAAAUGACUAUUCAGAAGAUAAUAAGAUUGGUCGAGGUGGAUUCGGCGAGGUCUACAAGGGUAUAUUUUCGAAUGGGACUGAAGUUGCUGUGAAGAGACUGUCAAAAUCAUCAGAACAAGGUGACACAGAGUUCAAGAACGAGGUUGUUCUUGUUGCAAAGCUUCAACACAGAAAUCUGGUCAGGCUUCUCGGAUUUUCUUUAGAACGAGAAGAAAGGAUAUUGGUCUACGAACCCUGUAAAGCGAGGGCAGUUGGACUGGACUCGGCGAUACAAUAUCAUUGGAGGAAUUGCUCGGGGGGUUCUGUAUCUCCAUCAAGAUUCAAGGCUUACAAUCAUACAUCGUGACCUAAAAGCAAGUAAUGUUCUCUUGGAUGAGAAUAUGAAUCCGAAAAUUGCAGAUUUUGGAAUGGCUAGGAUCUUCGGGUUGGACCAAACCCAAGAAAAUACAAGUAGAAUAGUGGGUACCUAUGGUUACAUGUCUCCGGAAUAUGCGAUGCGUGGUCAGUUCUCAAUGAAGUCUGAUGUCUAUAGCUUUGGAGUGUUAGUACUUGAGAUUAUAAGCGG